rnacentral:rRNA from 1 species
GACGAACGCUGGCGGCGUGCCUAAUACAUGCAAGUCGAGCGAAUGAUAGGGAGCUUGCUCCUUAUCAUUAGCGGCGGACGGGUGAGUAACACGUGGGCAACCUGCCUAUAAGACUGGGAUAACUUCGGGAAACCGGAGCUAAUACCGGAUACGUUCUUUUCUCGCAUGAGAGAAGAUGGAAAGACGGUCUCGGCUGUCACUUAUAGAUGGGCCGCGGCGCAUUAGCUAGUUGGUGAGGUAAUGGCUCACCAAGGCCACGAUGCGUAGCCGACCUGAGAGGGUGAUCGGCCACACUGGGACUGAGACACGGCCCAGACUCCUACGGGAGCAGCAGUAGGGAAUCUUCCGCAAUGGACGAAAGUCUGACGGAGCAACG